CUCACCAGCCGGAGCCGGUGGCCGAGGCGGGCCCGCCAAAGCAACAAAGGUGUGAUGACACGGGUGGGAGAUCUACCCCGAAGGGCAUGAACUCUGUAAUGAUCCCUCCGUAGGUGAACCUGCGGAGGGAUCAUUACAGAGUUCAUGCCCUUCGGGGUAGAUCUCCCACCCGUGUCAUCACACCUUUGUUGCUUUGGCGGGCCCGCCUCGGCCACCGGCUCCGGCUGGUGAGCGCCCGCCAGAGGACCCCCAACUCUGAAAUUUAGUGUCGUCUGAGUACUAUAUAAUAGUUAAAACUUUCAACAACGGAUCUCUUGGUUCUGGCAUCGAUGAAGAACGCAGCGAAAUGCGAUAAGUAAUGUGAAUUGCAGAAUUCAGUGAAUCAUCGAAUCUUUGAACGCACAUUGCGCCCCUUGGUAUUCCGGGGGGCAUGCCUGUUCGAGCGUCAUUACAACCCUCAAGCUCUGCUUGGUGUUGGGCGUCCCCGGCGACGGGGUGCCCUAAAAUCAGUGGCGGUGCCGUCUGGCUCUAAGCGUAGUAAAUCUCUCGCUCUGGAUGCCCGGUGGAUGCUCGCCAGAACCCCCCAUUCUUUACAGGUGACCUCGGAUC
rnacentral:rRNA from 1 species